rnacentral:rRNA from 1 species
UGGCCAGACUCCUACGGGAGGCAGCAGUGAGGAAUAUUGGUCAAUGGGCGGAAGCCUGAACCAGCCAAGUCGCGUGAGGGAAUAAGGCCCUACGGGUCGUAAACCUCUUUUGCCGGGGAGCAAGGGCGGGGACGUGUCCCGGCCCGGAGAGUACCCGGAGAAAAGGCAUCGGCUAACUCCGUGCCAGCAGCCGCGGUAAUACGGAGGGUGCGAGCGUUAAUCGGAAUUACUGGGCGUAAAGCGCACGUAGGCUGUUGUGUAAGUCAGGGGUGAACUCCCACGGCUCAACCGUGGAACUGCCCUUGAUACUGCAUGACUGGAAUCCGGGAGAGGGUGGCGGAAUUCCAGGUGUAGGAGUGAAAUCCGUAGAUAUCUGGAGGAACAUCAGUGGCGAAGGCGGCCACCUGGACCGGUAUUGACGCUGAGGUGCGAAAGCGUGGGGAGCAAACAGGAUUAGAUACCCCAGUAAU